rnacentral:lncRNA from 1 species
UAGGCAAAUAGUAAUCAUAAUCAAAAGAUAAAUCUCUAUGUUUUGCAAAACAUACGGGUGCUAUGUGUCCUACCUGGUUACAAUAAUGACAUAUAACAUACGGGUUGUGCAUAUGUCUUGGUUGAGCCAAAAGCGUUCUAGGUGAUCUAAAGCCGUUAUCCCUAGACGUAUUGCGAUUCCUAGAGUUAUUUCUAGGUGGUCUAAAAUUAUUCAUUCNNN